AACGCAAAUUGCGCCCAAGGCUUCGGCCGAGGGCAUGUCUGCCUCAGCGUCGGCUUACUCCCUCGCUCUCCCUCUCCUUGGGAGAUCGGACCUGGCCCUCCUGGCUCCGUUUUUGUCGAAUCGACCAGGUCGGCUGAAGUAUAGAGGCUUGAGCAUGGACCCCGCUCGUAGGGCAAUGUCUUGGUAGGUAGCUUUGCUACAAAGCCUGACGUUGCCCGAGGGAACUUUGCUGGCGGCCCAGUAGGAAUUUGGUGAGCUUCUUUGGGAGCCCCGAAUGCUUUUUAACCUUUCGACCUGAGCUCAGGCAAGACUACCCGCUGAACUUAA
rnacentral:misc_RNA from 1 species